rnacentral:lncRNA from 1 species
UGGUGCGAGGCGGCGAGCUCGGGGUUCAUCAGGUCGUCGAUGUCCUUCGCGGCGGCGCCUCCCUCCCCGCUGCUGCCAGCGGCAGCAGGGUUGCGGUGCUUGGCCUUCUUCCCCUAGAGGAACCGCACCUUGCGGUCCCGGUGCAGUCAUCGUCGUUGUCGCCGGCGGUGGUCGUGGGUAGGGGGCCCUUGGUGCCGCGCUGAGAUGGGGACGAGGGAGGACGGGGAGUAGGUGGCGGCGGAGAGGAGAUGGGGAGGAGGGGUCGAUGGGAUCUGAGGUAGGGUUUGGCCUGCGGGUG